GACAUUUUGAAAGCUUCGACAUUUUGUGUUUGUUGUCGAUCUGCUGUGGGGAGGAAAAGAGAACUGCUAACUGUAUGUUGAUCUUCAUAAGUUUACCUUCCUAAGGCUAUACUAGGCAAAAUUAAUACGUGGAAAGACUGGUUUUAGCCCUCAACAUGAACAACAAUAUGAGUUAUGGCUAUUCAUCUCCAUCCUCAUUUUCCUCAUUUUCGUCACCUUAUUCUUCAACCCCUAGCAUAAGAAUGCCACCACGACCUAGGUUUGCAUACUCUGGCCCCUCGUCAUAUCCUCGUCCAAGGUCUUCCGCAAGCAAACCAAAUCCAGACUCCCUUAGUGACAGCAUGGUUAACAACUAUGGUGGCUCCACAAAUCGCAUGGAUAGCUCAUUUGAUAGCAGAAAUAGUUUUUCUAACACUACUCUCGCAUCAAAUGACAAUUCUACUUACUUUUCUUGUAAUGAAUCAUUUCUCUCACCUAAUCAAGGGAAUGAAGACAGUUAUGAACCAAAUAUUUCUUUGCAGUAUCCUUCUUUUGAAGGGGACAGUGCUAUUAUGAGGCCAAAGAAUGGCGAUUU